UUCCCUUCUCUUUAUGAAGAAUGAACUCUGCUCUGUGCAUGCAAUGGGAGCUGGAACGAAUGAUCCAUGGGAGAUCCUUCCCACUCCCCCUGCCCCGGGAUGGGAUUUGGAGCACACAAAACCCUUAUUGCUUCCCUCUCCUGCUUUGUGUUCUGCCCUGAUUGUGCCAAGCUCACCAUCAUCCCCCAUGGCCUGGCUUUCUGAACCAUGUUACCCACUGAUGAAUCUUAGUUUGGCUGUGAAGAUGGACACUAGGAAGCUGUGGGAAUGCAGUGCCCAGUGUGAUCACAGUUCCAGGCAGGAGCAGCCUGGGGGAGCAAGCAGGGAGCAAUGCCCACGGACUGGAGCUGCUGGGGGAGCUUUUCUUGUUUUGCUGUCGCGACAGCCGCCACCAGGAGGAAUUUCACAUCCACGCGUGCAGAGAGCAAGGCCUCGCUGGACUGCAGGUUUGCCCUCAGACACCAGCUAGAACUAAUGAGAAUCCAGACUGUCCUGCCCUGACCAGCCCAGCCCAGAUUUUAAGGACAGGAGGAUGUGGGAAACGAACUGGGAUUCUCCAUGCUGAGUGUGUUGAGGCUGAAGUGCAUUGACAAGGUGAAAAGGCAACGUGCUGUACCUGCACCACAAAGGACAUCAACCCCUCUGCUGUCACUCUGCCUCUUCUUACAAGCUAUGAAUGUGCAUUACCUCAUACUCAAAACUUAGAAAUCAAAUAUGGAGCCCAAACAUUACCACAACUAUCUAAAGCCUAGUCAUAUAAUAAGCAAAGGCACUGCAAAAAAAUUGUACCUUUCACUGAAUUCUUAAACACAAGAACAAACAGAUGAAACACUGAUACUUAUGUGCCCCUCUUUUUAGCCACCAUAAAAAAACCCAUUUUGUUUUAAGGACAGAUUUGCAAACUGUUUCAGAAGGCCAAUACACUUUUGUUUUCAAACUGGGUAGCCACAAAGAGUUUUUAGUAUCUGUUGCGCACUCGGGUUGUCUGAAAAUCUGACUCUAAAAUCCAGAUGUUUUGCAGCAGAUAACAACUGUAGAUAAAAAUACACAUCUGCCAAACUUAAUAGCAUCCCAAUUUGCAGAUUUGCAAGAGUUAAAGGUGCAAUCAAUUUUCUAUUUAUUCACCCAUACUAUAUACUCAUAUUUGACCACAUUGUAAAUUAUAAGUGUCCUAUAAAAUUCACAUUAUUUUCCAAUUCAACCAGGGAGGACACAGAAGCUGCUAAAAUGGCUGUGUGCAUUCCUCUCUUCUGCCCAGCUUGGCAUGUCCUUGCACAUUGCACAAUGUAGUAAAAUAAUCCUGACAGAGUGGGAUUCCAGGACUUGGGAUAUUGCAAUUUAUAUGUACGGGCACUGUAAAACUGAAAUUUCAGAUGCUGAAGAUCCCACUUUGAAAUACAAUGCCUGGUAGCCAUGAGAGAGGGGAAAUGAGAUUUGAUUCCAAGUACAUAUCAUGUGAGAAGUUGGCUGUCUUGCUAAGAAAAUACAGAAGUCCUCGAAUCACUGGGGAUGGAUAAUGACAACAUGAUAAAUUGUGUCCAUCUUGGAGGGAACAGGGAGAAUCUGAGAAAAAAUCAGAAAUCAUCUCACCAAAAACUGUAAAACCAACAAAACAAGCAGGUUACUGAGGAAAAUCACUCAACCGCAUAGACACACCCAAAUGACAACACUAAAAGCAUUGGCAGACAACCACUUUGAUAGCUGCUGUUUGUAUCCUCUGUUCCCUUUCUUUUUUUUCUGUUUUCUUUUCUGUUGCAAUUAUUUAAUUACUGUUUUCCCUGUUCCUUGUGACCUUUGCUUUUUGUUCCCAACUUCCAUAAGGUACAAGGCACCCAAGACACUAAAAAUGUUCAGCUAAAUAAUAGCAAGGAGGUAAGGCUGGUGGGCAAGAAAUGUAAUAGAAAUCAGAAUAACUUUAUUAGCUCCAAAUCUGAGCCCAAGAAUGAAUUCAUAUUUUUCUUGUCUUGGUAUAAAUACUCAAAGACUUAAGUAUCUUACGGGGUUUAAACAAUAACUGGAAGACUAUGAACUAGCAGCAAUUCUAUUAAAGCUUUGCCCUAAAGGAAAAUUAAGACUUAUUCUCUUCCUUUUCUAGGGAAAUAGAGCACUUCAAUACUAUGUGUGCUUUUCAUUUAAUGCAUAUGUCAAUAUGCUUGAAAAACAUUAUUUCGAGCAUCCAAAGCUCUGCCCAGACAAGAGUAUUUGGAUUAGGUACAUACCUGGCUUAUGUGAAAACUUUUAACCCUGGUACCUACCUGGGUACUGGUGGGAAAACUACAUUCACCUGACCAAAGAGAGGCAGCAAAUGAAACAUAUGGAUGAUUCAAAACAUUGUUCAUUUUCUAGUGGAUCCAAUGCUACAUGACCUAAUGCAAUGGUCUGCCAUAAACAACCUAACAUGAAAGAAGUGGUGAGAAGUAGUUUUCCUGUUCUCUUGGGAAAAAAGGAGACAUAUAUCAAAAUCAAAAAAUGCUAAAAAUAUCUUAUUGAGGCAAGUACCGACUCUUUGAUGGAAUAGUAAUUCCUUCAACUUAGUUUAGUUUCCUCUAAGCAUUUUGCAGUUAGCAGCACAAUGCUACUCACAUCAUGUGAAAACUCAUCCUGUUUCAGAAAAAUUACACAAGGAUUUUACAUUACCAUUCUUUUUACCUGCAGUAAAUCAACACAGUGAUAUAAACACAAAAGACAAAAAGAGGUUCCUACCCUCCAACACAAUGCUUUUUCUUGGUUCAAUCCAGCUAUGACAUGAAACCAUUGUGCACUGUAUUUCUAAAUUUUCAAACGCGAAUUUCCUCAAAUCAUAACCUUAUGAGUCAGGGGGAGAGAGUUGCAGGAGAGGUUUUCCUCAAGAACAGGUUCCCAGGUAAGGCUGCUGGGGAGUGCAGCUGCAGUCACAGGCUUUGAACUCCUGCAGAACAUUUCAUAGCUCAUGUCUCGUUCGGAUGCAAUUUCAUUAACUUCAGAACAAAUCUGUAGAAAUCUAGCUAUUCUCGCAGCACGAACAGGGCCUUUGUUUUGAUUGCUGAUUAAAAGAUAUUGAAUCUGAUUCCAAUGCGAAUGAGGAAAUCUUUUUUAAGCGAUCCCCUGCUGUGCAUGGUAAUGUCAGGCAAAGUGGGACCCUUCCAUGGCGCUGAGAUCCUCCCGGCUGCUUUCUACGUUUCACAAACCAAACAGAUUGUCUUCUAAGGAGUGGAAUGUUUCCCAAGGCCUCUUUCCCAUCGUGCUGGUUAACCGAAGCUCGUUAGUUUGGAGGGGUUUCCUCUGUGAGGGGGGAGCAGCACCCGCAGCCUGUCCUCUGCCCCCGUCCCCCAGGGUUACUGUGGCCAUGUGCCACUUGCCUCCCAACAACCGACUUAAUGUGUAACUUGGGCUUAGCUCAAGUUUUGCACCCUUCAGCUUUGUUCACUUCCAACCAAUUCUUGUAUUAGAUGGCCAAAGCAAAGAUCUCAAACUUUAUUUACCAUGUAACCUGUCACUGUGAUAAAAAAAAACUAAAGCCUUUUUCAACUUUCAAGGAAGAGACAAGACUUGUUUAGUUUUCCCUGGCAGUUACUUCUACUUUGCAAACCCCAUUCAAAUGCAGACAGUUACUUUUGAACAGUGAGAGAAGGUGUUAAAUUGAGAUUAUGGUAAACAGCAGAUUUCUUUAUUUGGUGAAG
rnacentral:lncRNA from 12 species